ensembl:snRNA U6 U6 spliceosomal RNA
GUGCUUGCUUUGGCAGCACUUAAACUAAAGUUACAAUGAUACAAAGAAGAUUAACACGGCCCCUGCACUAGAAUGACAUGCAAAUUCAUGAAGCAGUCCAUAUUUUU